ACACAUGCAAGUCGAGGGGCAGCGGAGAGGUAGCAAUACCUCUGUCGGCGACCGGCGCACGGGUGAGUAACACGUAUGCAAUCCACCUGUAACAGGGGGAUAACCCGGAGAAAUCCGGACUAAUACCCCAUAAUAUGGGCUCUCCGCAUGGAGGGCUCAUUAAAGAAAGCAAUUUUGGUUACAGACGAGCAUGCGCUCCAUUAGCCAGUUGGCGGGGUAACGGCCCACCAAAGCGACGAUGGAUAGGGGUUCUGAGAGGAAGGUCCCCCACAUUGGAACUGAGACACGGUCCAAACUCCUACGGGAGGCAGCAGUGAGGAAUAUUGGUCAAUGGUCGGCAGACUGAACCAGCCAAGUCGCGUGAGGGAAGACGGCCCUACGGGUUGUAAACCUCUUUUGUCGGAGAGUAAAGUACGCUACGUGUAGCGUAUUGCAAGUAUCCGAAGAAAAAGCAUCGGCUAACUCCGUGCCAGCAGCCGCGGUAAUACGGAGGAUGCAAGCGUUAUCCGGAUUUAUUGGGUUUAAAGGGUGCGUAGGCGGCACGCCAAGUCAGCGGUGAAAUUUCCGGGCUCAACCCGGACUGUGCCGUUGAAACUGGCGAGCUAGAGUGCACAAGAGGCAGGCGGAAUGCGUGGUGUAGCGGUGAAAUGCAUAGAUAUCACGCAGAACCCCGAUUGCGAAGGCAGCCUGCUAGGGUGCGACAGACGCUGAGGCACGAAAGCGUGGGUAUCGAACAGGAUUAGAUACCCUGGUAGUCCACGCAGUAAACGAUGAAUACUAACUGUUUGCGAUACAAUGUAAGCGGUACAGCGAAAGCGUUAAGUAUUCCACCUGGGGAGUACGCCGGCA
rnacentral:rRNA from 1 species